UACGUAGGGAGCAAGCGUUGUCCGGAAUCAUUGGGCGUAAAGCGCGCGUAGGUGGCUUCGUAAGUCCGUUGUGAAAGUCAAAGGCUCAACCUUUGAAGCCGAUGGAUACUGCGGAGCUAGAGUACGGAAGAGGCGAGUGGAAUUCCUGGUGUAGCGGUGGAAUGCGCAGAUAUCAGGAGGAACACCAAUAGCGAAGGCAGCUCGCUGGACGUUACUGACACUGAGGCGCGAAGCGUGGGAGCGAACAG
rnacentral:rRNA from 1 species